rnacentral:tRNA from 1 species
GUUCCUGUAGUUAAAUUUAAAAUAACGGUGGUUUUUCAGACCACGGAUCUUGGAGAGAAGCCAAGUAGGAAUU